GCUGGCGGCGUGCCUAAUACAUGCAAGUCGAGCGAACGGAUAAGGAGCUUGCUCCUUUGAAGUUAGCGGCGGACGGGUGAGUAACACGUGGGUAACCUACCUAUAAGACUGGGAUAACUUCGGGAAACCGGAGCUAAUACCGGAUAACAUUUAGAACCGCAUGGUUCUAAAGUGAAAGAUGGUUUUGCUAUCACUUAUAGAUGGACCCGCGCCGUAUUAGCUAGUUGGUAAGGUAACGGCUUACCAAGGCGACGAUACGUAGCCGACCUGAGAGGGUGAUCGGCCACACUGGAACUGAGACACGGUCCAGACUCCUACGGGAGGCAGCAGUAGGGAAUCUUCCGCAAUGGGCGAAAGCCUGACGGAGCAACGCCGCGUGAGUGAUGAAGGGUUUCGGCUCGUAAAACUCUGUUAUUAGGGAAGAACAAAU
rnacentral:rRNA from 1 species